rnacentral:miRNA from 14 species
CGCGUCGGUUCCGUGUUCUGUGACUGACUGAGCUGGCGCCGGACUGGCGGGUGCCCGCAGCUCGGUCACAGAGCACGGGACCGGCCGCAU